GUUACUGUGUCACUAUACCCCACUCCCUCUAACAUGUAAGCUCACUGAGCAGGGCCCUCAAUCCCUCUGUUACUGUGUCACUAUACCCCACUCCCUCUAGCAUGUAAGCUCACUGAGCAGGGUCUCAAUCCCUCUGUUACUGUGUCACUAUACCCCACUCCCUCUAACAUGUAAACUCACUGAGCAGGCCCUCAAUCCCUCUGUUACUGUGUCACUAUACCCCACUCCCUCUAACAUGUA